rnacentral:pre_miRNA from 1 species
GGGAGGAACAGCCCCAGUGGCGGGGCAUCUCUGGAAACCUGGAUUCAGCUCCGGCAGGAACUCCGUCUGCAGGGCCUGGAGGCUCCGGGGCGGG